rnacentral:rRNA from 1 species
UACAGAGGGGGCAAGCGUUGUUCGGAAUUACUGGGCGUAAAGGGCGCGUAGGCGGCCUUCUAAGUCGAACGUGAAAUCCCCGGGCUCAACCCGGGAACUGCGUCCGAUACUGGAAGGCUUGAAUCCGGGAGAGGGAUGCGGAAUUCCAGGUGUAGCGGUGAAAUGCGUAGAUAUCUGGAGGAACACCGGUGGCGAAGGCGACGUCCUGGACCGGUAUUGACGCUGAGGCGCGAAAGCCAGGGGAGCAAACGGG